CGAACGGGUGAGUAAUGCAUCGGAACGUGCCCAGUAGUGGGGGAUAACUAGUCGAAAGAUUAGCUAAUACCGCAUACGACCUACGGGUGAAAGCGGGGGACCUUUACCGGCCUCGCGCUAUCGGAGCGGCCGAUGUCUGAUUAGCUAGUUGGCGGGGUAAAAGCCCACCAAGGCAACGAUCAGUAGCUGGUCUGAGAGGACGACCAGCCACACUGGGACUGAGACACGGCCCAG
rnacentral:rRNA from 1 species